UUUCACAUCUUCACGAGCUCCAAGUGCUCCAAAACUGUUUUUUCUUCCUUCGAUUGGUGUGUAGGGUGAGCUCCGUAUGAAUCGGAGUCUGCGGCUCUCUAUCUCUACUAGGCGUGUGCAGUGGUGUUGCAUUUGGGAGGGCUGCUUGGGAGCAGAAUCGUGCUCGGUUGUGGUGGCUGGUAUUUUGCGACUGACCUGGUGGCAGGCAAUGGCGGUAAUUAUCACUAUCACAGCGCCUUCGCUGAAAUUAUCUUGUGACCCAGAAUUGGGCACAAGUCAUUGAGAAGAACGAUUUUGUCAUGGUGCACUAAAAACUAGUUACAACUCUUCUCUGCAAGGAAAGUCCUCUCGAUUGCAGCUGACUCAAGAAGUUCCCCAAUAAGGUCACGCCCUGGUGGUCUCCAUUUUUACUUCAGCUGGACAUGCAAACCAAGUCAAUACAGUUCAUAUUAUGGGCAAUAUAAUUUUCACCAAACCGUCGUUGCUGUUCACGACCAAGUGCUCCCACAAGAAUACAUCCAGAAGAUGUUGUAGGAACUGUUCUUGUAGGCUGUAAAUGAUACGUUGAGGUUCUUAUUCUUGUUGCUAUUUAUCAAUCUUGUUGUAGAUUGCUAGCUGUGCAUUGGAAGAGCGUGCUGGAAUAAAUAAACAUCAAAGAGGGAAUGCACUUUCCCUCUCUACAAUCUUGCUGUUGUUCGAUGAGCCAUGCAACCAACUUGCG